CCUACGGGAGGCAGCAGUAGGGAAUCUUCCGCAAUGGGCGAAAGCCUGAUGGAGCGACGCCGCGUGAGCGAAGAAGGCCUUCGGGUCGUAAAGCUCUGUUGUGAGGGACGAAGGAGCGCCGUUCGAAGAGGGCGGCGCGGUGACGGUACCUCACGAGAAAGCCCCGGCUAACUACGUGCCAGCAACCGCGGUAAUACGUAGGGGGCGAGCGUUGUCCGGAAUUAUUGGGCGUGAAGCGCGCGCAGGCGGUCUCUUAAGUCUGAUGUGAAAGCCCACGGCUCAACCGUGGAGGGUCAUUGGAAACUGGGGGACUUGAGGGCAGGAGAGGAGAGCGGAAUUCCACGUGUAGCGGUGAAAUGCGUAGAGAUGUGGAGGAACACCAGUGGCGAAGGCGGCUUUCUGGCCUGCACCUGACGCUGAGGCGCGAAAGCGUGGGGAGCAAACAGGAUUAGAUACCCUGGUAGUCCACGCCGUAAACGAUGAGUGCUAAGUGUUAGAGGGGUCACACCCUUUAGUGCUGCAGCUAACGCGAUAAGCACUCCGCCUGGGGAGUACGGCCGCAAGGCUGAAACUCAAAGGAAUUGACGG
rnacentral:rRNA from 1 species